UACGGAGGAGGCAAGCGUUAUCCGGAAUUAUUGGGCGUAAAGCGUCCGUAGGUGGUUGGCCAAGUCUGCUGUCAAUGGGUGGGGCUUAACCUCAUAAAGGCAGUGGAAACUGGCGAGCUAGAGUGCGGUAGGGGUAGGGGUAAUUCCCAGUGUAGCGGUGAAAUGCGUAGGGAAUGGGAAGAACAUCGGUGGCGAAAGCGCCCUGCUGGGCCUGCACUGACACUGAGGGACGAAAGCGAGGGACGCGAAAGGG
rnacentral:rRNA from 1 species